UACGAGAGGCCCAAACGUUAUUCGGAUUUACUGGGCUUAAAGAGUUCGUAGGCUGCACAGAAAGUAGGGUGUGAAAGCCCUCGGCUCAACCGAGGAAUUGCGCUCUAAACUGCUGUGCUUGAGGAACCUAGAGGUGAGCAGAACUGAUGGUGGAGCGGUGAAAUGCGUUGAUACCAUCAGGAAUACCGGAGGCGAAGGCGGCUCACUGGGGGUUUUCUGACGCUGAGGAACGAAAGCCAGGGGAGCGAACAGG
rnacentral:rRNA from 1 species